rnacentral:rRNA from 1 species
AGUGAACGCUGGCGGUAGGCCUAACACAUGCGAGUCGAACGGCAGCACAGUAAGAGCUUGCUCUUACGGGUGGCGAGUGGCGGACGGGUGAGGAAUACAUCGGAAUCUACUUUUUCGUGGGGGAUAACGUAGGGAAACUUACGCUAAUACCGCAUACGACCUACGGGUGAAAGCAGGGGAUCUUCGGACCUUGCGCGAUUGAAUGAGCCGAUGUCGGAUUAGCUAGUUGGCGGGGUAAAGGCCCACCAAGGCGACGAUCCGUAGCUGGUCUGAGAGGAUGAUCAUCCACACUGGACCUGAGACACGGUCCAGACUCCUACGGGAGGCAGCAGUGGGUAAUUUUGGACAAUGGGCGCAAGCCUGAUCCAGCCAUACCGCGUAGGUUAAGAAGGCCUUCGGGUUGUAAAGCCCUUUUGUUGGGAAAGAAAAGCGGCAGGUUAAUACCCCGCUGUUAUGACGGUACCCAACGAAUAAGCACCGGCUAACUUCGUG